rnacentral:rRNA from 1 species
CCUACGGGUGGCAGCAGUCGAGAAUCAUUCACAAUGGGGGAAACCCUGAUGGUGCGACGCCGCGUGGGGGAAUGAAGGUCUUCGGAUUGUAAACCCCUGUCAUGUGGGAGCAAAUUAAAAAGAUAGUACCCCAAGAGGAAGAGACGGCUAACUCUGUGCCAGCAGCCGCGGUAAUACAGAGGUCUCAAGCGUUGUUCGGAAUCACUGGGCGUAAAGCGUGCGUAGGCUGUUUCGUAAGUCGUGUGUGAAAGGCGCGGGCUCAACCCGCGGACGGCACAUGAUACUGCGAGACUAGAGUAAUGGAGGGGGAACCGGAAUUCUCGGUGUAGCAGUGAAAUGCGUAGAUAUCGAGAGGAACACUCGUGGCGAAGGCGGGUUCCUGGACAGUAACUGACGCUGAGGCACGAAGGCCAGGGGAGCGAAAGGGAUUAGAUACCCGGGUAGUC